rnacentral:rRNA from 1 species
CCUACGGGGGGCAGCAGUGGGGAAUAUUGGACAAUGGGGGGAACCCUGAUCCAGCCAUGCCGCGUGUGUGAAGAAGGCCCUCGGGUUGUAAAGCACUUUCAGUGAGGAAGAACGCCUGGUGGUUAAUACCCAUCAGGAAAGACAUCACUCACAGAAGAAGCACCGGCUAACUCCGUGCCAGCAGCCGCGGUAAUACGGAGGGUGCGAGCGUCAAUCGGAAUUACUGGGCGUAAAGCGCGCGUAGGUGGCUUGAUAAGCCGGUUGUGAAAGCCCCGGGCUCAACCUGGGAACGGCAUCCGGAACUGUCAAGCUAGAGUGCAGGAGAGGAAGGUAGAAUUCCCGGUGUAGCGGUGAAAUGCGUAGAGAUCGGGAGGAAUACCAGUGGCGAAGGCGGCCUUCUGGACUGACACUGACACUGAGGUGCGAAAGCGUGGGUAGCAAACAGGAUUAGAUACCCCAGUAGUC